CUACGGGUGGCUGCAGCUAGGGAACUUUUGCAAUGCGCGCAAGCGUGACAAAGCAAGCCAGAGUGUUUGAUUUAUCAAACUUUUUUCUGCUGUAAAAAUGCAGAAGAAUAAGGACUGGGCAAGACCGGUGCCAGCCGCCGCGGUAAUACCGGCGGUCCAAGUCGCAUCCAUUUUUAUUGGGUCUAAAACAUCCGUAGCUUGUUUUGUAAGUCCCUUGUGAAAUCUUAUAUCUCAAGUAUAAGGCAUGCAAGGGGUACUACAUUGCUAGAGACUGGAAGACGUAAUGAGUAUGAUAGAGGUAAUGGUAAAAUAUGUUAAUCUUUGUCAGACUAACAAUGGCGAAGGCACAUUACGAGUACAGAUCUGACAGUGAGGGAUGAAGGCUAGGGGCGCAAAACGGAUUAGAUACCCGCGUAGUC
rnacentral:rRNA from 1 species